rnacentral:piRNA from 8 species
UCUGGGUCGGGGUUUCGUACGUAGCAGAG